AAUGAACGUUGGCGGCGUGGAUUAGGCAUGCAAGUCGAGCGGUAAGGCUCCUUCGGGAGUACACGAGCGGCGAAAGGGAGAGUAACGCGUAGAUAUCAACCCAAGAGUUCGGGAUAGCCACGGGAAACUGUGGGUAAUACCGAAUAACGUCUCCGGACCAAAGUUUUUCGCUUUUGGACGAGUCUGCGUACUAUUAGCUAGUUGGUGGGGUAAUGGCCUACCAAGGCGAAGAUGGUUAGCGGGUGUGAGAGCAUGGCCCGCCUCACUGGGACUGAGACACUGCCCAGACACCUACGGGUGGCUGCAGUCGAGAAUCUUCGGCAAUGGACGAAAGUCUGACCGAGCGACGCCGCGUGCUGGAUGAAGGCCCUCGGGUUGUAAACAGCUGUCAGGGGGGAGGAAAUUUUGACCUAACCCCAGAGGAAGUCCGGGCUAAGUUCG
rnacentral:rRNA from 1 species